rfam:Gossypium hirsutum cultivar TM-1 chromosome 6, whole genome shotgun sequence
UAUUUAAAAUUUCAUCUAUUUCUAUUCUUAGAAAUCGGUGUGGCUGAAGAAAUAACCAAAUAAUGACACAUUGCAUGCCACGUGUACCUUAUGUGACAUAUAGAGACCAGUUUUUAAAAGUAAAAAUAAAUGAAUUUUUAAAAA